AGGUUAACAGAUUGCUUAUUAUUUACAUAUCAACUUACUAAGCUUUAUAGCUUACUUUGUGUUAUUUUUCUAUGUUUAUAGUGUUCCAAAGGCUCGCUCGGGUUGGAAAUCGUCGGAGAUCCCGUCACACUAUCCAGCUAUGGUUUCAGUACUUAAAAGGGUUGACCCUUAUGGUUGGAGAAUUGGCCUUGCAAAUGGCCUAUAUUCGUCCAAAUGGCUGUUCACAUGGGCGUGAGACGUCUGGUACUUAGAAAAUUCUUAAAGUUUCGAAAAUUUUUAUGUGAAACCAGUUUUGUACCGAACUUUCUUAAAAGCAUGUUUUAGAUCUCGUAGACCUAUUUAAGGGAUAA